AACGAACGCUGGCGGCAUGCCUAACACAUGCAAGUCGAACGAGAACUUCGGGUCUAGUGGCGCACGGGUGCGUAACGCGUGGGAACCUGCCCUUAGGUUCGGAAUAACUCCCCGAAAGGGGUGCUAAUACCGGAUAAUGUCUUCGGACCAAAGAUUUAUCGCCUUUGGAUGGGCCCGCGUUGGAUUAGCUAGUUGGUAGGGUAAAAGCCUACCAAGGCGACGAUCCAUAGCUGGUCUGAGAGGAUGAUCAGCCACACUGGGACUGAGACACGGCCCAGACUCCUACGGGAGGCAGCAGUGGGGAAUAUUGGACAAUGGGCUAAAGCCUGAUCCAGCAAUGCCGCGUGAGUGAUGAAGGCCUUAGGGUUGUAAAGCUCUUUUACCCGGGAUGAUAAUGACAGUACCGGGAGAAUAAGCUCCGGCUAACUCCGUG
rnacentral:rRNA from 1 species